GAUGAACGCUGGCGGCGUGCUUAACACAUGCAAGUCGAACGGUGAAGGCGGAGCUUGCUCUGCUGGAUCAGUGGCGAACGGGUGAGUAACACGUGAGCAAUCUGCCCCUGACUCUGGGAUAAGCGCUGGAAACGGCGUCUAAUACUGGAUACGAGCUGCGAAGGCAUCUUCAGCAGCUGGAAAGAACUUCGGUCAGGGAUGGGCUCGCGGCCUAUCAGCUUGUUGGUGAGGUACCGGCUCACCAAGGCGUCGACGGGUAGCCGGCCUGAGAGGGUAACCGGCCACACUGGGACUGAGAGACGGCCCAGACUCCUACGGGAGGCAGCAGUGGGGAGUAUUACACAGUGGGCGAAAGCCUGAUGCAGCAACGCCGCGUGAGGGACGACGGCCUUCGGGUUGUAAACCUCUUUUAGCCAGGAAGAAGCGAAAGUGACGGUACCUGCAGAAAAAGCGCCGGCUAACUACGUG
rnacentral:rRNA from 1 species